rnacentral:lncRNA from 1 species
AAGCUUAUAGGUCUAAAAUUGGACAAAUUUAUAAGCUAAACAUUUUUUGGUAUAAGAACAAUAUUUGUAACAUUGCAUGGAAAUAUGCCAAAAUUGCUGGAAAUUGCUAAACGUUCUAAACAUUUUUUGGUAUAAGAGUAAUAUGCCAAAAUUGCUGGAAAAAAUAGUCAGAAAACUAUCACUUCCAACUACUUUGGUCAGACCCAUUACUUUCAAGGCAUCAAGUACCUCCUCAGUCGAAUAUUUUGCCAUAAGCCUUUGAUUCAUGUCUUCUAUUAUGCAUCGCUCCA